GGCGUGCCUAAUACAUGCAAGUCGAACGAAACUUUCUUACACCGAAUGCUUGCAUUCACCGUAAGAAGUUGAGUGGCGGACGGGUGAGUAACACGUGGGUAACCUGCCUAAAAGAAGGGGAUAACACUUGGAAACAGGUGCUAAUACCGUAUAUCUCUAAGGAUCGCAUGAUCCUUAGAUGAAAGAUGGUUCUGCUAUCGCUUUUAGAUGGACCCGCGGCGUAUUAACUAGUUGGUGGGGUAACGGCCUACCAAGGUGAUGAUACGUAGCCGAACUGAGAGGUUGAUCGGCCACAUUGGGACUGAGACACGGCCCAAACUCCUACGGGAGGCAGCAGUAGGGAAUCUUCCACAAUGGACGCAAGUCUGAUGGAGCAACGCCGCGUGAGUGAAGAAGGUCUUCGGAUCGUAAAACUCUGUUGUUAGAGAAGAACACGAGUGAGAGUAACUGUUCAUUCGAUGACGGUAUCUAACCAGCAAGUCACGGCUAACUACGUGCCAGCAGCCGCGGUAAUACGUAGGUGGCAAGCGUUGU
rnacentral:rRNA from 2 species